rnacentral:rRNA from 1 species
UACGGAGGAUGCGAGCGUUAUCCGGAUUUAUUGGGUUUAAAGGGUGCGUAGGCGGAUCGUUAAGUCAGUGGUCAAAUUGAGGGGCUCAACCCCUUCCCGCCAUUGAAACUGGCGAUCUUGAGUGGAAGAGAAGUAUGCGGAAUGCGUGGUGUAGCGGUGAAAUGCAUAGAUAUCACGCAGGACCCCGAUUGCGAAGGCAGCAUGCCGGCUUCCUACUGACGCUGAAGCACGAAAGCGUGGGGAUCGAACAGG